UUUAAAGGAUAAAAGAUAAUCCGUUGGUUUUAGGCACCAAAAAU
rnacentral:tRNA from 1 species